AAGGAACACACGCAUUUCCCAGGCAUCCUGUCGGGCGGUGAUGUUCCCUCUUUACCAAAGCUCUCCAAGCUGGAAGGGCAUCCGCACAGAUCCUCCCACAACCUUGGGAGGGAAACACUUCCCUGCCCCAUGAUUUUGGACUCGGCUGGAGGAUAUUACCAGAUGUGACGCAUACAGUGCUUGUGUGGUUGGGCGUGUCCUCUUAUGCCUCUCCCCGUCACCAGGAGAAGAACAUGCCCCAGCUAGCUUGCUGGUCCCGGGAGGAUGAGAGGCAUGUGGGACAGACCUGGACCCAAACAGCAGCGUUCAACCCAACCCAGCUGAUCCCAGCCAAGAUCAGCCAAACCCCAGCUCAAAUGUAUGCGUGAGAAACAAACGCUCCGUGGAAUGCCAUCGAGCUUUCAAAUCCUUUGGUACCAGCAAUAGUACCUGCGGAGUAAUACGCAGGACGAAGGUUUCUGGGAAGAGGAGACUUCAUGUCCCAGGAGACCGUUCCUUUCUUACAUGAGUCUUCCUGAUGAUGUCACCGUCACCGGGACUCACCUCUCCCAGAAAGCAUUGGUCUGUUAGUAAUAUCAGUAAUUAGCAUUCACCUCGGGUUUUACGGGCAGGAGGCAGCAGCAACAUACAACUAUCUUAUGAGGUGGAGAGGCCGGGGUUAUCACAUUCAUUUUGCAAAGAGAAAAUUAAAUACUCAAACGAGUUGCGUGACUCACCAAGACUGGACCAGGAGGCAGCUGUCUGAAGGAAGAACGCGAGGACUGGACUUGAAUGCAGGAGUUUUGGGUUCAGAUCUGGGCUUGGCCACAAAUGCUUCCGAGCACUGGCUAUAAUAACCACGGACAUUUACUGAGCGAUGACUACGCGCCAGGUACUGUGAUCCUGUUUACAUGGAUCAAGGCAUUUGACCUCACCACCAUCGAUGGGUAUGUGUG